AUCUUCAAAAGCAAACUUUUAGAAAUCACGUUUCUGUUUUACCUUUUACAGGUAGACUUAUCAAUAGUCAAGUAUUAUACUCAUGAUCCAGAAAACUCCAUUUCAGGUUUCUUGCAUCACACUUAUCCUACAUUUGCUUUUUUUUCACUUUCUUUGUGUUUCUGUUUUGUUUUGUUUCUCUCUGUAUGUUUCAACAUUAGCUUCCAUUACAUUGUUCCAAGAACAAAG